UGGGGAAUAUUGGACAAUGGGGGGAACCCUGAUCCAGCCAUGCCGCGUGUGUGAAGAAGGCCUUAUGGUUGUAAAGCACUUUAAGCGAGGAGGAGGGUACUGGUAUUAAUACUACCAGGUACUGGACGUUACUCGCAGAAUAAGCACCGGCUAACUCUGUGCCAGCAGCCGCGGUAAUACAGAGGGUGCGAGCGUUAAUCGGAUUGACUGGGCGUAAAGCGUGCGUAGGCGGCUAAUUGAGUCGGAUGUGAAAUCCCCGAGCUUAACUUGGGAAUUGCAUUCGAUACUGGUUAGCUAGAGUGUGGGAGAGGAUGGUAGAAUUACAGGUGUAGCGGUGAAAUGCGUAGAGAUCUGGAGGAAUACCGAUGGCGAAGGCAGCCAUCUGGCCUAACACUGACGCUGAGGUACGAAAGCAUGGGGAGCAAACAGG
rnacentral:rRNA from 1 species